AACCGAAAAAGGCAAACUAUCCGAAAGGAUGGGACGCAAAGCCUCUGGCCUAAGUCCUUUAAGGAUAAGGUAGCAAGGCUACCGUA
rnacentral:ncRNA from 1 species